AGUGAACGCUGGCGGUAGGCCUAACACAUGCAAGUCGAACGGCAGCACUGUAAGAGCUUGCUCUUACGGGUGGCGAGUGGCGGACGGGUGAGGAAUACAUCGGAAUCUACUUUUUCGUGGGGGAUAACGUAGGGAAACUUACGCUAAUACCGCAUACGACCUACGGGUGAAAGCAGGGGAUCUUCGGACCUUGCGCGAUUGAAUGAGCCGAUGUCGGAUUAGCUAGUUGGCGGGGUAAAGGCCCACCAAGGCGACGAUCCGUAGCUGGUCUGAGAGGAUGAUCAGCCACACUGGAACUGAGACACGGUCCAGACUCCUACGGGAGGCAGCAGUGGGGAAUAUUGGACAAGGGGCGCAAGCCUGAUCCAGCCAUACCGCGUGGGUGAAGAAGGCCUUCGGGUUGUAAAGCCCUUUUGUUGGGAAAGAAAAGCAGCAGGUUAAUACCCCGCUGUUCUGACGGUACCCAAAGAAUAAGCACCGGCUAACUUCGUG
rnacentral:rRNA from 1 species